UACGGAGGGGGCUAGCGUUGUUCGGAAUUACUGGGCGUAAAGCGCACGUAGGCGGCUUUGUAAGUUAGAGGUGAAAGCCCGGGGCUCAACCCCGGAAUUGCCUUUAAGACUGCAUCGCUAGAAUUGUGGAGAGGUAAGUGGAAUUCCGAGUGUAGAGGUGAAAUUCGUAGAUAUUCGGAAGAACACCAGUGGCGAAGGCGACUUACUGGACACAUAUUGACG
rnacentral:rRNA from 1 species